UUGCUGUGACGGCUUUCUUAGGACAUCUUUGGAAUCAAUGUGACAAAAUUUGUGUUCUGAUAGAU
ensembl:snoRNA SNORD58 Small nucleolar RNA SNORD58